GGGGGGGGGGGGGGGGGGGGGGGGGGGGGGGGGGGGGGGGGGGGGGGGGGAGGGGGGGGGGGGGGGGAGGGGGGGAGGGGGGAGGGAGGGGGAGGAAGGUGCGGGGGAGGGGGGGAUAACGGCGGGAAACGGGGGCUAAUACCGCGUACGUGCGGAGGGGGAAAGUGGGGGGUCGUCGGACCGGCCGCUAUCAGAGGAGACUAGGUCGGAUUAGCUAGUUGGUGGGGUAAAGGCCUACCAAGGCGACGAUCCGUAACUGGUCUGAGAGGAUGAUCAGUCACACUGGAACUGAGACACGGUCCAGACUCCUACGGGAGGCAGCAGUGGGGAAUAUUGGACAAUGGGCGAAAGCCUGAUCCAGCCAUGCCGCGUGUUUGAAGAAGGUCUUCGGAUUGUAAAGCACUUUAAGUUGGGAGGAAGGGCAGUAAGUUAAUACCUUGCUGUUUUGACGUUACCAACAGAAUAAGCACCGGCUAACUUCGUG
rnacentral:rRNA from 1 species